AUUCCAGCUCCAAUAGCGUAUAUUAAAGUUGUUGCAGUUAAAAAGCUCGUAGUUGGAUCUCAGGUGCAGGCGGGCGGUCCGGCUCGCGCCGGUCACUGCUCGUAUCUCCUGCCCUACCGUUUGCCGGCUCUCUCCCGUGGGUGCUCUUCACUGAGCGUCCCGGGUGGCCGGUGCGUUUACUUUGAAAAAAUUAGAGUGUUCAAAGCAGGCCUCGGCAGCCUGAAUAAUGGUGCAUGGAAUAAUGGAAUAGGACCUCGGUUCUAUUUUGUUGGUUUUCGGAACGGAGGUAAUGAUUAACAGGGACAAACGGGGGCAUUCGUAUUGCGGCGUUAGAGGUGAAAUUCUUGGAUCGCCGCAAGACGAGCUACUGCGAAAGCAUUUGUCAAGAAUGUUUUCAUUG
rnacentral:rRNA from 1 species